GAUGAACGCUGGCGGCGUGCCUAAUACAUGCAAGUCGAGCGAACAGACGAGGAGCUUGCUCCUCUGAUGUUAGCGGCGGACGGGUGAUUAACACGUGGAUAACCUACCUAUAAGACUGGGAUAACUUCGGGAAACCGGAGCUAAUACCGGAUAACAUGUUGAACCGCAUGGUUCAACAGUGAAAGACGGUCUUGCUGUCACCUAUAGAUGGAUCCGCGCCGCAUUAGCUAGUUGGUAAGGUAACGGCUUACCAAGGCAACGAUGCGUAGCCGACCCGAGAGGGUGAUCGGCCACACUGGAACUGAGACACGGUCCAGACUCCUACGGGAGGCAGCAGUAGGGAAUCUUCCGCAAAGGGCGAAAGCCUGACGGAGCAACGCCGCGUGAGUGAAGAAGGUCUUCGGAUCGUAAAACUCUGUUAUUAGGGAAGAACAAAUGUGUAAGUAACUAUGCACGUCUUGACGGUACCUAAUCAGAAAGCCACGGCUAACUACGUG
rnacentral:rRNA from 1 species